rnacentral:rRNA from 1 species
AUGCGGAGUUAUACUGCGAGUGCCGGUUCAACUGCGGCGCUCCUUUACGAAAGGCACUUCCCGACUCACGAAUUUAAGGUCGCUCUCCGAAUGGCCCAUUGUGACGGCUUGGUGUUGCUCCCCACCAACACUGGUCUCUACGUCUUCAACCCGGCCACAAGAUGCAACGUUGCGUUGCCCAAGAGCAACCGCAACAAGAUGGAGCAUCUCAAUGGCCUUCCAGUUGGUUUCGGCCUCGAUCCUUCCACCUGCAAAUACAAGGUUGCACGCUCUUUCUAUCGUGGUUGCCACGACAAGGACCACGUCGCCAUGGGGAUGGAGAUCUUCACAAUUAACAGUGGUGGCCAGGACGAGUGGAGUGAGACCUUGGUGGAUUCGCCUGCCCUCAUCUCGUGUCCACAAACCGCCAUACACUGCAAGGGUUACCUAUUCUACUUCAUCAGUAAGGCCAACCAUCCAUGCCCCCCACGGGCACUACUCCGUUUCAGCCUUCAACACGAAACAUUUGGUUUCACUCCGUUGCUUGACACCUUGUACCCUCAAGUACAAGACAAAGAUAUUAUCCUCCAUGAGCUUGACGGGGAACUAUGCGCCACUUUCUUCGUCGAGUGCCUACAACGCGUAGUGGUCUGUAUGACAAGAGACGUCCUGGAUCCGAAAUGGAGCUUACACUACACGAUCAACGUCUCGAGCCUUUGUCGUCCAGUUACCUAUGCUACCGGGGUUCUUUUAGCAUAUAAUCGUCAAGAAUACCGUUUCUACUUGCAAGCUCACGGCGCCUUCGAAGACAUAUUUGAUAUGGACGAUCUAAAGUUUCUAGAGCCCAAUGGAGAAGUCACCUUUGGGCCAUGCGUGGAGAAAGAAAUGCUGGUUCGACCUAGUUUCGUACACCGAAAGCCUUGUCCCUGUUACUCCUCUUAA